UUCUCUCUCUCUCACGUCCGAAACCACCCAAAACAGAGCAAAACUUCUCCAAACUCUCUCUCACUCCACCGGCCACCAAUCAAGACCAGAACACUUCCUAUAGCUUCGCCUCGACCUUGCGCAGCUGCAGGUGGCAGCCUUGAACCACGACACGGCCACCAGCGGCGGCGGGAAGCUCCGCCCGGUUUGAGCUCGUUUUGGUUCCAAGCUUGAUAUCUCAAGCUACCGGCCAACAAUCCUCACCAAACUUCACCCACGAGCUCGCCUCAACGUCCUGAAGCUCCCAGAAGUGGCCUUGCACGGCGGCGCUACUCGUGGUGGCGGCUGGAAGCCAGACCCGAUCAAAUCGAAAACCGAAGCUUCGAUCGGUAUAUCUCGAGCUGUAGUGCAUCGUUUUGAUUGAUUCUUUUUCCAGUGGGUUCCCCUUGAUGUUGUUAACAACUCUCUAGAAGGCAUCGAGGCCUGAAAUUGAAGUUUUUACGUCGAUCGGAGCCCUCGCCGGAUUCUGCAAAAUUCUGCAAAUUUUCCGACCACCGAAGCUUUCGAUCGGUAUAUCUCGAGCUACAGACCAUAUUUUUCUGUGAUUCUUGAACCAAUGCGUUCGUCUUGAGUUUCUUAACAACUCUCUAGAAGGAAUCGAAGCCUGAAAUUGAAGUUUUGACGUCGAAAUCAAGCCUUGCCGGAUUCUGCAAAUUUCGCCGGAUUCUGGAAAUUUUCCGGCCACCUCGACUGUUCUAGGUUAUUGACGGUUUGAGUUGGUGGACGAUUGUGGAUCGUAUUUUGAGCUGAAUUGAAGACGCAGCGGGAUUAUCGAGCGGGAAAUCCUACAGGUCAGGAGAACCAGGACGGUGAUCGGGCUGCUUAGAGUAGUGUUAUGUGAAUUACAGCAUUAUAUUGUGAGGUUUGUUAUGCUCAUUUAGAGCUUUGCAAUUUUACUUUGUAAGAGUGAAUUGUAAUAAUUAACUCGAGGUUUUCGAGUUUUUGUGUUGAGUGGCGAGUGGUAUGUUUGUUUGUGAGAAAAAAAUUCAGAACGUUAUUUGUAUUAAUUGUUUAUUCAUGUUUCGGAUUUGAAUUGGUUAUUCAAAAUUCGGGGCGUGACAGUUUGGUAUCAGAGCGUAAGGUACAUAUUUGGUGACGUGUCAAUACCUUCCGAGUGAUGGCCCGUCUGCAGCGGAUCCCCAUCGUGCGCUCUUCGGUAUUGGCUAAGUCAUUGGGUAUGUGUGAGUGUUGGAAGUUGUUUAGGCCGCUAAGUCGUUUUAGGAACGUUAACACCUUCCCUGUAGUAUUGACUUGGUUAAUAUGGACUUGUAUUUGACUUAUACUGUGUUUUAAGUGUUAUACGUGUAUUAGCCAAGCAUACUAUAUUUCUUAGGUGUUGAAUAUUCGAAGGAGUAGUACUUAGAACUACAGAGUUGUCUUGUAGGUUCGUAUUUGAAUAAGUUCAGUUACCGCGAGUUAUAAUCUUUAAGGGAUGGAAACCUUCGGAUUUAACUCUAUUGAGUUAGGGUGAUUGUUUUAUGGAAGUGAGGUUCUUUUGGAUGUUGAGGUGUUUGGUUGAAGGCAUGAUGUUGGCCUAUGCACGUACCUAGUGUGGAUACGAGUAUGAAUUGAUGGAAUUUUUGCCUUAUUAGGUUGGAUAUACAGAUGUUUUUGAUUUGAUUCUUGACUCAUGUGGAGUGGUGGGUAGUAUUGCGGUUUGGGAAUGAAUUAUUGUGGUUAAUUCUUCCAUGUGUUUGUAAGUUGAUGAGCAGGGUUUAAGUUGUGAGAAAGGAGUUUGAUCUCGUGUUUGAGUGAUUGAGACGAACGACUAUAUAUUUGAGGUUGUUUUGUGUUUUAAGUUUAUGUAGACGGGACACUUAAAGUUUUGAAAUAGAGUUUGAUUUUUAGUUGAUAGAUAAUGGGGAGAAUUAGAAUCAACUCUUUGUUAAUGAUCUUGGACGAGAGUGUGUUUCUAUGGUUAUGGAUUUUAGGUGAAAUGGUUAAAUACAAUUUUGGGUAUUGAUGAUAGUGACAUGAUUGGGUAUCCAUAGUGGUUCAAGUGAAUUACUAUGCGGUAUGGAGUUGAUUCGACGUAUGAAUCGUGAAAUCUUAGGGUUGAAUUAUGGUAAGUUUGAUGGAGCAUGUUUUAGAGGGAAUGGUUGAGAUUUUAUAAGACUAGCACGAGUAACUCUAAGGAUGUGAGUUUUCCUAGUUAACUCAGGAAGUGUUUAGCUUUAUUAAUCCCUAAUUCUAGCGACGAAAUUAUUGUGUUUGGUUUGACUCAGAGGAUACUAGCUUGACCUCUGUGCAACUUAAUUGAUUGUUUGUGAUAAAUCAUUAUGAAAGAUGUGUGCAGUAGAGUUGUUUAUGGUUUUGAAAACAGUAUUGGGUGACCAAGGUUCGAUCCUUGGUGUUGUUGUUGGUUAAACAAACAGGAAAGAAAACAUGCACACCAUCUUAUUGAGUUUAUAUUACAAAAAAAAAAAAAAAAAAAAAAAGAAAAAAAAAAAGCGAGGACUAUGCUAUACUAAGCCUAGUCAGCAGCUCCGGAUGGGUUGAGGCUGAGCUCAAGAGAAACGUUUGAGCCACUGUGGUAACCGCCUGAGCCACCAGAAUAGUAACCAAAAGCGCUACCUUCCUCGGAAGUAGCCUUCAGGUUACCAAAGACGUCC